rnacentral:rRNA from 1 species
AGUGAACGCUGGCGGUAGGCCUAACACAUGCAAGUCGAACGGCAGCACAGUAAGAGCUUGCUCUUACGGGUGGCGAGUGGCGGACGGGUGAGGAAUACAUCGGAAUCUACUUUUUCGUGGGGGAUAACGUAGGGAAACUUACGCUAAUACCGCAUACGACCUACGGGUGAAAGCAGGGGAUCUUCGGACCUUGCGCGAUUGAAUGAGCCGAUGUCGGAUUAGCUAGUUGGCGGGGUAAAGGCCCACCAAGGCGACGAUCCGUAGCUGGUCUGAGAGGAUGAUCAGCCACACUGGAACUGAGACACGGUCCAGACUCCUACGGGGGGCAGCAGUGGGGACUAUUGGGCAAUGGGCGCAAGCCUGAUCCAGCCAUACCGCGUGGGUGCAGAAGGACUUCGGGUUGUAAAGCGCUUUUGUUGGGAAAGAAAAGAAGCAGGUUAAUACCCCGCUGUUCUGACGGUACCCAAAGAAUAAGCACCGGCUAACUUCGUG